UACGUAGGUGGCAAGCGUUAUCCGGAUUUACUGGGCGUAAAGGGCGCGUAGGUGGGCGCUUAAGUCAGGUGUGAAAACUCCGGGCUCAACCUGGAGACUGCACUUGAAACUGGGUGUCUUGAGUGCAGAAGAGGAGAGUGGAACUCCAUGUGUAGCGGUGGAAUGCGUAGAUAUAUGGAAGAACACCAGUGGCGAAGGCGGCUCUCUGGUCUGUAACUGACGCUGAGGCUCGAAAGCAUGGGUAGCGAACAGG
rnacentral:rRNA from 1 species